rnacentral:misc_RNA from 1 species
UAAUAAGUGUUUUAUGGCACUUUUCAAAUCCAUAUCCACCUUGUGUGCAAUGUCAGUCGAUCUUCUUCAUGGAGAUCGACCAAACAUCAACCUUUAUCUUUUAACUCUUUGUCUGAAAAAUAUUAUGAAUAAACAAUUCAAAAUA